CUAACAAGUCAGCUAGAUGAUUCCUCUCAUGGGAAACAUGCACGAAGGAGGAAUAGGUGAACUCGCAAGCUUUAACCUUUAAAUCAUGGAUCCACACGCCUUCAGCACCAAGAGGAAGAGAAGAACCAUGUAUGAGCCCAAUAGCUCGGGUUGAAACAGAAUGAACGAGGAUGCUACCAAUACUCAACGAAUGGGCAAAAUGAAGACCCUUAAGGAUAGCCAAGAUUUCUGCGAGUAAAGGGCUAAGAGUGAAUCUAGGAUGAACGGAGUGGGCUGCCUUGAUACAACCAUUGGAAUCUCAAAUUAGCAACCCCAGCCCCACAGAAUUUCCACCCUCACUAUAGGUAGCGUCCACAUUGAAAAGAGAAACCAACCCAGCAGAGGAAGGCACCACGGCUGCUCCGAUUUGCUCCUAGGGAUCUGAUUAGGCUGCGAAAUCCCCAAUGCCGAGCGUACGGUUUCAGCAUAAGAGAUGAUGAAACCAUAAACCAGAGAACUUCGAGAGAUGAUCAUUUGGGAUAGAAACUGUCAGUAGAACGUGCCGCCAAAUGUCCCUGGAUCUAGAGUGGGAAAGAAGGGCAUGAGCUGUUUUUUCCAGCUUUSUGGUACAGCAAGGGCAGUACAAUGAUAACUCUAACUCUUUCCUCUGYAAAUUAUAUAAUGUAGGAAGAAUAUUGUGCGUGCUCGAUCUAGCAAUCUUGGACACCUUCACAAAC